rnacentral:rRNA from 1 species
UACGUAGGUGGCAAGCGUUAUCCGGACUUAUUGGGCGUAAAGGGAACGCAGGCGGUCUUUUAAGUCUGAUGUGAAAGCCUUCGGCUUAACCGGAGUAGUGCAUUGGAAACUGGGAGACUUGAGUGCAGAAGAGGAGAGUGGAACUCCAUGUGUAGCGGUGAAAUGCGUAGAUAUAUGGAAGAACACCAGUGGCGAAAGCGGCUCUCUGGUCUGUAACUGACGCUGAGGUUCGAAAGCGUGGGUAGCAAACAGG